CCUACGGGGGGCUGCAGUGGGGAAUAUUGGACAAUGGGGGGAACCCUGAUCCAGCCAUGCCGCGUGUGUGAAGAAGGCCCUCGGGUUGUAAAGCACUUUCAGUGAGGAAGAACGCCUGGUGGUUAAUACCCAUCAGGAAAGACAUCACUCACAGAAGAAGCACCGGCUAACUCCGUGCCAGCAGCCGCGGUAAUACGGAGGGUGCGAGCGUUAAUCGGAAUUACUGGGCGUAAAGCGCGCGUAGGUGGCUUGAUAAGCCGGUUGUGAAGGCCCCGGGCUCAACCUGGGAACGGCAUCCGGAACUGUCAAGCUAGAGUGCAGGAGAGGAAGGUAGAAUUCCCGGUGUAGCGGUGAAAUGCGUAGAGAUCGGGAGGAAUACCAGUGGCGAAGGCGGCCUUCUGGACUGACACUGACACUGAGGUGCGAAAGCGUGGGUAGCAAACAGGAUUAGAUACCCGAGUAGUC
rnacentral:rRNA from 1 species